GAUGAUUCUCUACAGUAAACGACGG
rnacentral:piRNA from 1 species